rnacentral:rRNA from 1 species
GACGAACGCUGGCGGCGUGCCUAAUACAUGCAAGUUGAGCGCUGAAGGUUGGUACUUGUACCAACUGGAUGAGCAGCGAACGGGUGAGUAACGCGUGGGGAAUCUGCCUUUGAGCGGGGGACAACAUUUGGAAACGAAUGCUAAUACCGCAUAAAAACUUUAAACACAAGUUUUAAGUUUGAAAGAUGCAAUUGCAUCACUCAAAGAUGAUCCCGCGUUGUAUUAGCUAGUUGGUGAGGUAAAGGCUCACCAAGGCGAUGAUACAUAGCCGACCUGAGAGGGUGGUCGGCCACAUUGGGACUGAGACACGGCCCAAACUCCUACAGGAGGCAGCAGUAGGGAAUCUUCGGGAAUGGACGAAAGUCUGACCGAGCACCGCCGCGUGAGUGAAGAAGGUUUUCGGAUCGUAAAACUCUGUUGGUAGAGAAGAACGUUGGUGAGAGUGGAAAGCUCAUCAAGUGACGGUAACUACCCAGAAAGGAACGGCUAACUACGUG